rnacentral:lncRNA from 1 species
AAGAGGAUUUGCCCACCCUGCAAAAGAUGCACUUGUAGCAGCCUUCCAUCCUAUCACAGGUGGAUCUGACCUUGCACCUUUCACAUUUCUUUCAAAAUUACCCCGCAGAACCUCAGGAAACACAGACCAAGGAGCCAAACUCUGGGGUGUGGGCGGGAAGGACAAAAGCUUUGCAGAUUGUUGCAUACCAAGCCACAAUGAAAGGCAGCUAAGCAAGGCUUGAUUUUUAUGUUGACAGUCUACUGUAAUUAGAGAGCUGCAAUGGAGAAUCAUGGAUAUCCUGACCUGUUCCACUACUCCUCAGCCACCCUGGAGAGGGAUUGCUGCAACCAGCACGUGCUGGAUAAGGAUGAGAGAAGCAUGAUGAACUGAAAAAGCUCACAGCUGCAUGGCUGCAGCAGAAGACAGCAUGCCAUUAACUAACCAGUGGAUACACUACAUUGCCUAAUGUCUAAAUUUACCCUUUUUCAGACAGGCAAGUAACUGCAUCAAGUCAAAAUCUUAGGGAAUACAUUAAACACUGGUAAUAACACAGUAAUAGUACUUAUAACACAUGGGGACAUGGCCUUGAUAUUUUGAGAAAUCCAUGGCUUUUCCACUAAAAAAUUUGUGGCUGCUACAAUUUCUAAUUCCCACACUAUAUCUGAGUUUAAUGGUUAUGAGUCUCAGAAACCCAUGAAAUUCAUUGGAGCAGUUCACAGCAUCACAAAUGUGUUUUACAAUUCUGGACAAAUCUGAUUAUCAUCAUGCCCUUCAGAAACGUGUUAUAUAUUCCCAGCAUAUCAGAUUUUACAUAGCAUUACCAUUAAAUACAGUCUAACUUCAGCUGACAAACCAGAGAAUAAUGAUUAAAUGGUAACUUACUUCACUUGUAAGAAAUGAAUUAUGUACACACCAAGUAAGAUAUUUGACAAUGGCAUCAGACAGCUCUGAAUUAAAAUCCCUCCAUUUUAUGUUAAAUGUAUUUUUAAAACCAUUUGCGGUACCCUAAGUAACAUAAAAUAAAAAACAAAGUUUUCAUUGCA